UUACUACAACCUCCGUCCCAAAUUACUUGUCUUAGAUUUAUCUAGAUACGGAUGUAUCUAGACACUAAAACAUGUUAGAUACAUCCAUAUCUAGAGAAAUCUAAGACGAGUAAUUCGGGGUGGAGGGAGUAUAUC
rfam:Triticum aestivum genome assembly, contig: Triticum_aestivum_CS42_TGACv1_scaffold_404762_5BL